AGUCUUCUGUAUCCGUGCUGAGAUUUCAUCACACACCAGACCACAAGGGCUGAUGAGACUUCCAAGAUACGUGAAGCG
rfam:Schistosoma margrebowiei strain Zambia genome assembly, scaffold: SMRZ_scaffold0000330